CGGUUCUUCGAAAAAGUUGAGAAAUAAUAAGAGGAGAUGAAUUUGAAAUUUUAAAUAAUUUUAUUAUAACAAGAUCAUGAGAAAUAAAUAAUAUAUAAGACAUUAUUGUAAGCUUGAGAAUGAUAUGAAGAAUGUAUACUUUGAAAUAUAUCUCAACAACAUAACUUAAUUUUGAGGACGAAAUUAUUUGAAGAGGGAAGAAUGUAACACCCCG
rnacentral:lncRNA from 1 species